AGAUUUGUAGAGCUCAUUAAACGUGGCCUCCUGGUUCGAGGCUCAGUGAGGCUGUUACAGUUGAGUCCUCGUCUCACAGCUAUCCCCAUCUGGAGGCCCCAUGUUUUGUCCUCCAUCCCCUGCGGGGGAGUGAGGGCCCCGAGCAGCAUGGCUUGAAGCCUCAGAGAGACCAGCUGGUCCAGCAGCUCCCUCUGGAACACAUCUGUGUGGAGACCGACUCCCUCUGCGGCCUCGACACAGCUGGAUCUCCUCUGCAGAUGUUUCUCUUCUCUUUCCAUCUCCCGGGAACGAGCCCCUCGUCCUGAUCCUCUAUGUGAACCAGUCUCAGAUAUGGAAGAAAACUCA
ensembl:lncRNA